GACGAACGCGGCGGCGUGCUUAACACAUGCAAGUCGAACGGAGCGAUUUAUUUCGGUAAAUCGCUUAGUGGCAAACGGGUGAGUAACGCGUAGGCAACCUGCCCUCAGGAUGGGGACAACGGCUCGAAAGAGCCGCUAAUACCGAAUGACGUAACUCUUCCACAUGGAAGAGAUACUAAAGAUGGGUCAAACCAUCGCCUAAGGAUGGGCCUGCGUCUGAUUAGCCAGUUGGUGAGGUAACGGCUCACCAAAGCGACGAUCAGUAGCCGGUCUGAGAGGAUGAACGGCCACAAUGGGACUGAGACACGGCCCAUACUCCUACGGGAGGCAGCAGUGGGGAAUCUUCCGCAAUGGGCGAAAGCCUGACGGAGCAACGCCGCGUGAGUGAAGAAGGUCUUCGGAUCGUAAAGCUCUGUUGUCGGGGGACGAAAAGGAAAAGGGGGAGGG
rnacentral:rRNA from 1 species